rnacentral:rRNA from 1 species
CCUACGGGCGGCAGCAGUGAGGAAUAUUGGUCAAUGGGCGCGAGCCUGAACCAGCCAAGCAGCGUGAAGGAUGACUGCCCUACGGGUUGUAAACUUCUUUUAUAAAGGAAUAAAGUGAGGCACGUGUGCCUUUUUGUAUGUACUUUACGAAUAAGGAUAGGCUAACUACGCGCCAGAAGCCGCGGUAAUACGGAGGAUCCGAGCGUUAUCCGGAUUUAUUGGGUUUAAAGGGAGCGUAGAUGGGUUGUUAAGUCAGUUGUGAAAGUUUGAGGCUCAACCGUAAAAUUGCAAUUGAUACUGGCAGCCUUGAGUACAGUUGAGGUAGGCGGAAUUCGUGGUGUAGCGGUGAAAUGCUUAGAUAUCACGAAGAACUCCGAUUGCGAAGGCAGCCUACUAGACUGCCACUGACAUUGAUGCUCGAAAGUGUGGGUAUCAAACAGGAUUAGAUACCCCAGUAGUC